UACGUAGGUGACAAGCGUUGUCCGGAUUUACUGGGCGUAAAGAGCGCGCAGGCGGUCGAUCAAGUCGAGUGUGAAAGCCCCCGGCUCAACUGGGGAGGGUCAUUCGAUACUGAUCGACUCGAAGGCAGGAGAGGGUAGUGGAAUUCCGGGUGUAGUGGUGGAAUGCGUAGAGAUCCGGAGGAACACCAGCGGCGAAGGCGGCAUCCUGGACUGGUACUGACGCUCAGGAGCGAAAGCGUGGGGAGCGAUCCGG
rnacentral:rRNA from 1 species